CUGAGAACGAGAGGCGGGACCUUCAAGGCGAAGGAGGUGCGGAAGACCUCCAGAUUUUGGCUGGUUUUGCUCCAUGGUUGGAUCCAUUUGAGGUCUGUCCCACACAUCUGACUCCAGGGCCCAACUGUGGGGUAGCUGCCUCCAGGGCACACUCUUCUCACUGUGGCCACUGAAACGCAAGAGGUAAGUCAUGAGUUCCAGCCCAUACUCAAGGGGAGGAGAUGACGCGAGGACAUCAAUACCAGGAUGCAGCGGUCACUGGAACCCAUUCUGAAGCUGCCUACUACCUGAUGUGAUUCCAUUUUUGAAGUUCUGAAACAGAUUUCCUCCGAAUCUUUCCUGUAAAGUAAAGCUAGUGAUGUCUCAUAAGAAUGUGCACCUUGGCUGGG